ensembl:snoRNA
GUUCAGAUGAUGAAUUAACUGUUCAACUGCUGAGUGAUACAAACAUGAACUAAAACUUAAAUUCUGACAGCU